UACAGAGCAGCAGGAUGAAGCAAGCCUUCUGUGCUGUUCUGGAAACGUGGUCGAAAGGGGUGACUGUUUACUUCCAAGACUGGGCAAAGUGCUCCUUCCCUCGAAUAGGGGAAGCCCAGCUUUGUGAGAAGACAUACCCUUUCUUCUGCUACGUGGUCAGAAACUGGCUGGACUGUGAAGAGAAGGAGCUCAAGGAGGACAUCAUCAGGGCUGUGGCAGCUAUGAUGGGCCUCCUCCUUCAUCAGGAAGAGUAUCAAGGGCAUGUGUG